CAUAGUACUUUAUGUUAUUGUCGUAGUAUAGUAUGUCAUUGUCAUUCCCCUCUUCACUCCUCACUUUCUUCCAUCUCCUCGUUCUCUUCCUCACUCCUCCUCACUCAUCAGUUCUCAUUUUUCAUUCCUUAUUUUCACUUUUUACUUUCAGAUUCACUAUAAAUUAAUUGUUUUAUACUAUAUGUUCAAUAAAUAUAACAUAUAAUAUAUAAAUUGUGCUUUAACACACGCUCUCACUUUCUUUUCCCUCUUCACCCUUCACUCUUUAUCUUCUUUUACUCUUUACUUUCCACUUUCUUUUUCACUCCUCCUUCUAUUUACUCCUCACUUCUCACUCCUCCUCCUCUUUAUUACCUCUCA
rnacentral:lncRNA from 1 species